rnacentral:rRNA from 1 species
GAGGCAAACCNCGAAGGAACCCUACCUGGGUUUCGUACAUAUGCCGUCGUUCCUUGCCACGACGAUGUAGGGGUCAUCUUAGCUUGGGCGGGUAUACCACGGUGGUCGCACUAGGCGUCGUCUGUCUACGACGUCUGUGUUCUGCUGAGAAUAGUUUUGUGGGUUAUAGUGCUCCCGCACAACGAGACGCAACACCUCGUCUUAUGUNUGCCAGCACAGUGAUGUGUGAGGGACUCAUGGNGAGACUGCCGGGGUCAAACUCGGAGGAAGGUGGGGACGACGUCAAGUCAUCAUGCCCCUUAUGUCCAGGGCUUCAAGCAUGCUACAAUGGCCGGUACAAAGGGUUGCGAUACCGUGAGGUGGAGCGAAUUCUCCAGCAANCCGGUUUCCAGUUUCGGAUUGGGCAUUUGCAAAUCCGACCUCCAUGAANUGCGGANUCGGUAGUAAUUCGCAGAUUCAGCACAUCGCUCGCGGUGAAUACGUUCCCGGGCCUUGUACACACCGCCCGUCACAGUCAUGAGAGAGUNGGCAACACCCGAAGCCGGUGGCCUAACCCUUGUGGAGGGAGCCGUCGAAGGUGGGGCUGGCGAUUGGGACGAAGUCGUAACAAGGUAGCCGUACCGGAAGGUGCGGCUGGAUCACCUCCUU